rnacentral:lncRNA from 1 species
CCGGAAAAACUGAAAGUUGUCGGAAUCGAACGGAACAAGGAUGGGUAGGGUCGGAAAUUAAGGCCGACCAAACUGUCCUUCUGGAGCGAAGCCAAAAAUUGGCCGGAAGCAGCCCCACGCGCCGGCGCGUGGUGUGACGCGCCGACAGACGUGGCGGCGCGUGUGGAGGUAUCUGCCGGAGAAAUUUCUGGGGUUUGGUCGGAAUUAUAUUCNN